UAAGGAAUAUUGGUCAAUGGACGCAAGUCUGAACCAGCCAUGCCGCGUGGAGGAUUAAGGCCCUCUGGGUUGUAAACUCCUUUUAUCUGGGAAGAAAUGUACUUUUUCUUGAGUACUUGACGGCACCAGAGGAAUAAGCACCGGCUAACUCCGUGCCAGCAGCCGCGGUAAUACGGAGGGUGCAAGCGUUAUCCGGAUUCACUGGGUUUAAAGGGUGCGUAGGUGGGCAGGUAAGUCAGUGGUGAAAUCUCCGGGCUUAACCCGGAAACUGCCGUUGAUACUAUUUGUCUUGAAUAUUGUGGAGGUAAGCGGAAUAUGUCAUGUAGCGGUGAAAUGCUUAGAUAUGACAUAGAACACCAAUUGCGAAGGCAGCUUACUACACAAUCAUUGACGCUGAGGCACGAAAGCGUGGGGAUCAAAC
rnacentral:rRNA from 1 species